rnacentral:pre_miRNA from 1 species
CCAAGAAUCACUCGAGGGUCUUGUUAACCUGCAAGUUCUGGUUCAGCAAGUCUAGGUGGGGGCCUGGGAGUCUGCGUUUUUAACAAGGUCCCAGGUGAUGCUGAG